ensembl:lncRNA novel transcript
UGAGAAGCCUGGGAGGUUUGAGUUCUGUCUCCAUGACCAUAAGUCUGCAGCCACACAAUUGUGUGAUGGGUUGUGUGAUCUUCCUGACAAGGAACCAGUUGAAGGAUGCUGACUGGGAAGCCGUGCACGCGACCGGCCGUCAGGAUGUGCCCGAGAAAAUUAAAAACAUUAAGUACUCCAUCCGGACACAAAGCGUCUCCAUAUGACAGAGUUUUGUUACUGUGGGGAGAGGACAAAGCACCAGCCACACCCCUCAUUCCACAGCCUUUCCCAACCCUCCCCUCGAGAUGAAACACUGGCCAUCUGCAGCGCUUCACCUCUGAGCUGGAAAGAAGCUUGUUUCUUUUGCUUUGAUGAGGUUCUGCUGGUUUUGGCGGGACUUUGAAGUUUAUUUAUUGUCAUUAAAUUGCAUUAAUUAUU